UUCUGAACUAAGCACCCCAGUUACUUUGCUUGUUUUGUUCUCUCUCUGUCUGAAAACAGGGAGAAAAGAGUUCCGAGUCCCUGAGUUGCUUAAACUGGGAGACAAAACAUUAUGAAAGCUUUAGCUGUGUUCCCUCCAAAUGUUUCUAGAAGUAACAACCAGACAGAAACAAAAGCCAUUCCCGUUGGUGUGUUGGUAUUCCCCGGUGACUGAGGCUUUGAACAUAAAAGUUUUAUUAAAAUAUAUAUCAUGAAAGAAAAGAGAAACAGUUGUACUUUUUCAAGAAGAAGGUAUUUUCCCCCCAUACACAGGACCAUGGGUCCUUUUUAUCAUAGAGAUGACUUAGCUCCUGGGACAUGUGUGUGGAUUAUCACCACAAUUUCAGUAUCAAGACUCCACCAGCAGAAAUUCAUUUCAGGUUUAGAAGCCCAGGAAAUUUCAUGCACAGCACAAGGUUCAAGGAGACACAUAGCAAUUUUGAUAGUGUCAUCAUGUCAGAAAUCUUUCAACACAAGUGACUAAAAUCUACUGG
rnacentral:lncRNA from 1 species